UACUCGUGAGUGCUAGGACAACGGGCACAGUAAUCUUUGUGUCUCCAUUUACAGUCCCUUCGUAUUCUGCGUAUGGUUUGGCCCUGAAGACUCUCAGGCCCACUCUGUAUCGAGUAGUAAAAAGCCCCCUAUGGGCCCGUGAGUCCACCUUGGCGUGUGCCUGUGAAAUGGGCCGCAGUCCCCAUCCCCGCCUGUGUCUGCUUCACAGCUGAGCCCUGGUGCACACUGGUAGUCACUGUGCUGCUCCACAUCAUACAGGCUGUCACACCGCCUCGCCUUGGAUUCUUGCAGUGGUUAUAGCAUCUGUUGAUAAUUACAGCUUGAAUCCGUUCUUACUUGGAAGAAGAGUAUUUGGAAACCAAGAUCUAGGACCCGUGAAGACAUUUCCAUCAUCUCAAAGUGUUCUCUUGUGUCACAUUCCGGUCUGUCCCUCGCUGCAGCCCCAGGCUCUCACUCCUCUCCUGUCACCGUGGAUUGAGCGAAACUCAUGUCUAGACUUCUCUGUCACCUGAGUCAUGUUGGGUGUACUCUUUUGUGUUAGGCUUCUUCUCUUCAGCAUGUUUCGAUAUUCACCUGUAUUGUAUUUAUCAGGAGUCCAUCCCUUUUUAUUUCUGCACAUAUGCUACUGUCUCGAAGUGCAUUAAGUGGACAUUUGGUUGUUCCCAGCUGUUACAAAUAAAGUUGCCGUGAAC
rnacentral:lncRNA from 1 species